AGCAGUCGCCGCGGUAAUACGUAGGUGGCAAGCGUUGUCCGGAAUUAUUGGGCGUAAAGGGAGCGCAGGCGGGCGAGUAAGUCUUUCUUAAAAGUGCGGGGCUCAACCCCGUGAGGGGAGAGAAACUACUCAUCUUGAGUGCAGGAGAGGAAAGCGGAAUUCCUAGUGUAGCGGUGAAAUGCGUAGAUAUUAGGAAGAACACCAAUGGCGAAGGAAGCUUCUUGGUCCAUUCCUGACGUUCAUGCACGAAAGCGUGGGGAGCAAACAGGAUUAGAUACCCGAGUAGUCCCUGUCUCUUAUAAC
rnacentral:rRNA from 1 species